UGCCACCCGGCCCCCGGCCCCUCCACGCACCCCUGUCCCGGGGACGGCCAGGCAGACAGCCCUCCACCUCAGGUCCCCGGCCUCCGCACAAUUCAGAGGCCACCUCUGCGGAGGGGAGGGCCGUGCGAGGCCGUGCGCCCCCGCGGGCACCUGGGGGGAACGGUGAGAACCCGGGUAGGGGCGAACGAAUGCAGAGAAGGAGUUAAGGGGGAGCCUCUCCUCUGCCUCCAGAUUGGGGAGCCGCAGCGAGAAAGACUUCUUUCUUAGGUUUGGCUAUUGGAAACCUUCUCCCUGCGGAUCCCGUCCAGAGAGGACCCCAGAUUCUGGGAAGCAGGGAGAAGCCCGACACCCCCAUCGCCACCACCCCGUGCAGCCGGGGGGUGGGGGGCCACCCUCUCUGGGGCUUUGCUGAAAAUGGGCCUUCCGGGUGGAGGUGGGGGAGUGUUUGUUACUGUUUCUUUUAACUCUUGAGAGUUCCAGGAUCUUAUCUUGUUUGGGGCUCACAACCCAUACUUUCAGGCAGAGUUCCUAGCUGCUUUCACAAACAUGGAAAAAGUGAGGUCCCGGAGUCUUGGAAUUGACCCGAGGCUGAAGAAUGAUCUAGGGGCAUGAGGUCCAAGCUCCUAGCUCACUACUUGGACCCUCUCCUGAGAGCUGUGGAAGGCACGUGGGCCCACACACAGAGACAGAGAAUGGCUUAUAUACGGGGUGUUACAAGAGAAAAAAAAUGGGCAUAAACAUAGGUUGUGUUCAUCAUUGCCAAGUUCAUGCUACUGAACUACUAGGAACCCAGAUGGUUGGGCUAUUUCCUAAUUAACAAAUAACUAUGCAGCCCCCACUGGUACACAGACCCUGUGUCCUUGAGGCAGGGCCUUAAGGUGCCAGGAGCCCAUCGGGGACCCAACGUCAAGGCCAGAUGAGCUGACCAGACAGGGGGGGAAGUUUAACCAGAGGAUGCACCGAAAUGCAAUGUCAAGGCAGAAGACCAGCAAAUUCUUUUUUAACCUCUCAAGACCCUUUCCAAGAGUCCCCAGCCUGUCCCAUCUCUCCUCAUCUGCGGCUCUGGAAGCCCAGUGGAGGCCCAUGGAGCCAAUGGGCACUCACGGGUGCCUGGGCGCAUGCCUCCCGGAUUCGAGGAAAAGUACUCUGCCUGAAGGCCUGGCUUCCCGGGAGUUUCCAGAAACUGAUUUUCUAGAAAUUGCCCAAUGCCGCUAGAAUCUAUGCCAUUGUUUAAAACUGACUUCUGCCAAGGGAAAGGACGUGGAGUCUGAGAAUCGCAAAGAAUCCCUGGAUAGGACCUCAGAGAUCAAGUCCAACCUCCCUCCCUCUGAAUCCCGUAGAACAUGAUGCAAAGGCUAGUGGCAGAGAGAGAUGCUGAGAAGCAGAAGGAAUCAGGCUCGAGCAAAAAGGAGGGAAGAUAUGUGGUGUGGUGGACAGUGGGCAGAUGGUAAUGGUCUGAGCUGUGUGACCUCAGGCACGUUCUUAACCUCUCUGGGCCUCUGUGCUUUUAUCUGUAAGAUAAAAGAGUUCCUGCCUGGCAGGGUGGCUGUGAGAUCAAAGACACAUAUAUAGAGAAGAGAUGCUCCCGUAAGACUUCAGUAAGAUUCAGAUCAUUUCUAUGGCAUAAAAUGAACCACACUCAGAAGAAAAAUUGUCCCUCAACUUGGAAGAUUACCUAUAAUGUAAAAUAUUAAUGUGUU